rnacentral:tRNA from 1 species
GGCGGGGUAGCUCAGUUGGUGAGAGCGCACGACUCAUAAUCGUGAGGUCGCGGGUUCGAAUCCCGCCCCCGCUACCA